rnacentral:rRNA from 1 species
UUAAGCGACUAAGCGUACACGGUGGAUGCCCUGGCAGUCAGAGGCGAUGAAGGACGUGCUAAUCUGCGAAAAGCGUCGGUAAGGUGAUAUGAACCGUUAUAACCGGCGAUGUCCGAAUGGGGAAACCCAGUGCAAUUCGUUGCACUAUCGUUAACUGAAUACAUAGGUUAACGAGGCGAACCGGGGGAACUGAAACAUCUAAGUACCCCGAGGAAAAGAAAUCAACCGAGAUUCCCCCAGUAGCGGCGAGCGAACGGGGAGCAGCCCAGAGUCUGAAUCAGCUUGUGUGUUAGUGGAACGGUCUGGAAAGUCCGACGGUACAGGGUGAUAGUCCCGUACACCAAAAUGCACAGGUUGUGAACUCGAAGAGUAGGGCGGGACACGUGGUAUCCUGUCUGAAUAUGGGGGGACCAUCCUCCAAGGCUAAAUACUCCUGACUGACCGAUAGUGAACCAGUACCGUGAGGGAAAGGCGAAAAGAACCCCGGCGAGGGGAGUGAAAAAGAACCUGAAACCGUGUACGUACAAGCAGUGGGAGCACCUUCGGGUGUGACUGCGUACCUUUUGUAUAAUGGGUCAGCGACUUAUAUUCUGUAGCAAGGUUAACCGUAUAGGGGAGCCGCAGGGAAACCGAGUCUUAACUGGGCGUUAAGUUGCAGGGUAUAGACCCGAAACCCGGUGAUCUAGCCAUGGGCAGGUUGAAGGUUGGGUAACACUAACUGGAGGACCGAACCGACUAAUGUUGAAAAAUUAGCGGAUGACUUGUGGCUGGGGGUGAAAGGCCAAUCAAACCGGGAGAUAGCUGGUUCUCCCCGAAAGCUAUUUAGGUAGCGCCUCGUGAACUCAUCUUCGGGGGUAGAGCACUGUUUCGGCUAGGGGGUCAUCCCGACUUACCAACCCGAUGCAAACUACGAAUACCGAAGAAUGUUAUCACGGGAGACACACGGCGGGUGCUAACGUCCGUCGUGAAGAGGGAAACAACCCAGACCGCCAGCUAAGGUCCCAAAGUCAUGGUUAAGUGGGAAACGAUGUGGGAAGGCACAGACAGCCAGGAUGUUGGCUUAGAAGCAGCCAUCAUUUAAAGAAAGCGUAAUAGCUCACUGGUCGAGUCGGCCUGCGCGGAAGAUGUAACGGGGCUAAACCAUGCACCGAAGCUGCGGCAGCGACACUAAGUGUUGUUGGGUAGGGGAGCGUUCUGUAAGCCUGCGAAGGUGGCCUGUGAGGGCUGCUGGAGGUAUCAGAAGUGCGAAUGCUGACAUAAGUAACGAUAAAGCGGGUGAAAAGCCCGCUCGCCGGAAGACCAAGGGUUCCUGUCCAACGUUAAUCGGGGCAGGGUGAGUCGACCCCUAAGGCGAGGCCGAAAGGCGUAGUCGAUGGGAAACAGGUUAAUAUUCCUGUACUUGGUGUUACUGCGAAGGGGGGACGGAGAAGGCUAUGUUAGCCGGGCGACGGUUGUCCCGGUUUAAGCAUGUAGGCUGGUUAUCCAGGCAAAUCCGGAUAAUCAAGGCUGAGGUGUGAUGACGAGGCACUACGGUGCUGAAGUAACAAAUGCCCUGCUUCCAGGAAAAGCCUCUAAGCAUCAGGUAACAUCAAAUCGUACCCCAAACCGACACAGGUGGUCAGGUAGAGAAUACCAAGGCGCUUGAGAGAACUCGGGUGAAGGAACUAGGCAAAAUGGUGCCGUAACUUCGGGAGAAGGCACGCUGGUGUGUAGGUGAAGUCCCUGCGGAUGGAGCUGAGACCAGUCGAAGAUACCAGCUGGCUGCAACUGUUUAUUAAAAACACAGCACUGUGCAAACACGAAAGUGGACGUAUACGGUGUGACGCCUGCCCGGUGCCGGAAGGUUAAUUGAUGGGGUUAUCCGUAAGGAGAAGCUCUUGAUCGAAGCCCCGGUAAACGGCGGCCGUAACUAUAACGGUCCUAAGGUAGCGAAAUUCCUUGUCGGGUAAGUUCCGACCUGCACGAAUGGCGUAAUGAUGGCCAGGCUGUCUCCACCCGAGACUCAGUGAAAUUGAACUCGCUGUGAAGAUGCAGUGUACCCGCGGCAAGACGGAAAGACCCCGUGAACCUUUACUAUAGCUUGACACUGAACAUUGAGCCUUGAUGUGUAGGAUAGGUGGGAGGCUUUGAAGCGUGGACGCCAGUCUGCGUGGAGCCAACCUUGAAAUACCACCCUUUAAUGUUUGAUGUUCUAACGUUGGCCCCUUACCGGGGUUGCGGACAGUGUCUGGUGGGUAGUUUGACUGGGGCGGUCUCCUCCCAAAGCGUAACGGAGGAGCACGAAGGUUAGCUAAUCCUGGUCGGACAUCAGGAGGUUAGUGCAAUGGCAUAAGCUAGCUUGACUGCGAGCGUGACGGCGCGAGCAGGUGCGAAAGCAGGUCAUAGUGAUCCGGUGGUUCUGAAUGGAAGGGCCAUCGCUCAACGGAUAAAAGGUACUCCGGGGAUAACAGGCUGAUACCGCCCAAGAGUUCAUAUCGACGGCGGUGUUUGGCACCUCGAUGUCGGCUCAUCACAUCCUGGGGCUGAAGUAGGUCCCAAGGGUAUGGCUGUUCGCCAUUUAAAGUGGUACGCGAGCUGGGUUUAGAACGUCGUGAGACAGUUCGGUCCCUAUCUGCCGUGGGCGCUGGAGAAUUGAGGGGGGCUGCUCCUAGUACGAGAGGACCGGAGUGGACGCAUCACUGGUGUUCGGGUUGUCAUGCCAAUGGCACUGCCCGGUAGCUAAAUGCGGAAGAGAUAAGUGCUGAAAGCAUCUAAGCACGAAACUUGCCCCGAGAUGAGUUCUCCCUGAGACUUUAAGUCUCCUGAAGGAACGUUAAAGACGAUGACGUUGAUAGGCCGGGUGUGUAAGCGCAGCGAUGCGUUGAGCUAACCGGUACUAAUGAACCGUGAGGCUUAACCUU